ACUUGAAAAUAACAUAAGGCCCUAAAGGGUCGGGCUUAAUAGGCCUAUUUAGCCAAGCCCAUAAAAGCCUCAUGGGCUCAGCUCAUAAGGUCCCAACGGGCCUGGCCUAGUGGGCCACGGGCUGAACCGGGCUGUGGGCCCAAAUUCUUUGGCUCCACCCCCUAUGGGGCUUAGGCCUGGGCUGUUUGUUUGAACAAUGAUAGGUCGAGCCACAUAGCUUGGCCCAUCCUGAGUUGGGCCAGGUGGUCGCGAGCCAUCCGAUCCUUUUGACAUCUCUAUUUCAAAGUGAUCAAUCAUCCUACCCCGUCCCUCACCCUCUCCUUUCCUAAUUUAUACAUGCUCAAAUCACACUAACAUCAUCUUGCUAUUUUAGUUUUUUUUUAUUAUUUAUAUUUUAAACAUUAAAAAAUAGCAAAACUUAAAUAUUAAUCGCAUUCAUUUUCAUCACAAUCAUAAUCGCUGUUUUUGGUUUGGUUCGUUAAGAGAGAUUAUUACAAUCUUUUAUCACAUUGCAAAGCCAACUCACUCAGCGUCUCAUACCCGAGAUCGAGAUUUUAAACCGCAUUUUAAGUCUGGUGUGAUGCGAUGAGGAACAUUACAUAGAAUGCGGAUGCGAAGCAGAUGAUCACAAAUUGUUUUCGAGGAUAGACAUCAAUUUCUUCGUCAACCGAGUCCACUUUCUUGGACAGAACCAUACAGCCAGCAAUUGCUUGCUUCGUGGAGCUUCGAUGAUGACGACGAGUGAUAAUUCAAUGGGUAAUGCUUCGUCAAUGCUAACUCAGUAUGACAUUGAAGAAGUCCAAGAUCACUGUGACCAUUUAUUUUCCCAGCAAGAAAUCGUGUCUUUGUAUCAAAGAUUUUGCCAACUUGAUCGGAAUGCCAAAGGUUUUAUCUCCGCCGAUGAGUUUCUAUCUGUACCCGAGUUUGCAAUGAACCCUCUUUCUCAGAGGCUGCUUAAGAUGGUGGAUGGUUUAAAUUUCAAGGACUUCGUAGCAUUCUUGUCGGCUUUUAGCGCAAAAGCUAGUAUGCCUCAGAAAGUCAAACUCAUCUUCAAAGUAUAUGACUCAGACGGUAAUGGGAAAGUAACUUUCAAUGACAUAUUAGAAGUUCUGCGGGAUUUGACAGGCUCAUUCAUAUCAGAUGGGCAAAGAGAGGGUCUUCGGCGGUCUGCCGAUCUGAUGGCAGUGAACCUAGGGUGGUGGGGUUGUUAGCAAGUGGUGGUCGGACAGUGGUAUUCUGGCCUGGGCAGUUACGGUGACGGCUAGGGUUUGAAGGUUGCUGGAAAAAGAUACACAACGACGGCUAGGGUUUUCUCACCGGUGGCUUUGAUACCAUGUGAGAAAAUAAUUAUAAAAGAAAAACUUAAGAGAUUAGUCUCUCUUAACUUGUUAUUUAUAAUAGGCAUAAUGAGCCUUAAACACCUACGGACUUAACUUAUGGGCUUAAUCUACUUAUAAAUAAAAUACACACAUUCUAUAAUUACAAUAUAUACAAUUAUACUAAUAAUUCUAACAAACAUCUUAACUAAAAUCACCAUGGAAUUAAUAUAUUUUUAUUAUCUGUACUCUUAAAAGAUCAAUCAAUAUUAGCCAACAGAGAAAUUAGAAUGUUAACAGAUGACAUCUUGUGACUGGAGAAAAGAUAUCCUCAUUCUCAACACCAUUGGUUUGUUAUUACUCCUAACUUGGUGGCUCAUGACCUUUCCACAGAAGCAUCAGUUUUUGACUUGGCAAUAUAUAAAAAAUAAAAAUAAAGAAUGGAAAAAAGGGAAAGAGAAACAGAAAAUCCCAAAUUGAAGGAUAAUCUAUUUAACCUUCUCUACCACCAUAUUAAAAAAAGGUAAAGAGAGACAGAAAAAUCACAAAUUGCACGAAUCAUAAAGGGGGAAGAGGGGGGAAAGACAUCAUGCAGAAAGACUGAAAGAGUUUGAUAUUCAAUUACCUUUUUCACUUACCUUCGCUUGUAUACACAGGGAUAGUCAACAAAAUAAUUAUCACUACAGCCUUAUUGCUAAUAAACUAGCUGUUUUAUUGCAGAAAGCUGCAGUGGUGAUUAUGACCAAUGCUCUUAACAUGCUAUUAGAUGCUAGGAAUAUUAGUCCUGACAAGGAUUUCUUUUGAUCUAGGAUCAUCUACGUGCAGGAUUUUAGAAGUUCUCAACAGUCCAUGAUUUUAUUUUUGGAUACGUACAGAUCUCAAUGGUGCCUUUGUUUAAGGCUACCUACGAUUCUUCUCCCCCCCCUACUUUAUGUGAUGGCCUCGGCAAUUAUCCUUAACCAUUUUUUUCCCUACUUCAUGAAGUAUUGAUCCAAGUUUUGCGGGAAGCUGGUUAUACAAGGGACUCAACUCUACUGUUGAAUGACUUCAUUAAGGUUCUAGGCAAACCUGGGAUGAAAAUGGAGGUGGAAGUUCCAGUCGACUAAGCCGAGGCUGCAG